rnacentral:rRNA from 1 species
ACCCGCUGAACUUAAGCAUAUCAAUAAGCGGAGGAAAAGAAACCAACAGGGAUUGCCCUAGUAACGGCGAGUGAAGCGGCAACAGCUCAAAUUUGAAAUCUGGCUCUUUUAGAGUCCGAGUUGUAAUUUGCAGAGGGCGCUUUGGCUUUGGCAGCGGUCCAAGUUCCUUGGAACAGGACGUCACAGAGGGUGAGAAUCCCGUACGUGGUCGCUGGCUAUUGCCGUGUAAAGCCCCUUCGACGAGUCGAGUUGUUUGGGAAUGCAGCUCUAAAUGGGAGGUACAUUUCUUCUAAAGCUAAAUAUUGGCCAGGGACCGAUAGCGCACAAGUAGAGUGAUCGAAAGAUGAAAAGCACUUUGGAAAGAGAGUCAAACAGCACGUGAAAUUGUUGAAAGGGAAGCGCUUGCAGCCAGACUUGCUUACAGUUGCUCAUCCGGGCUUUUGCCCGGUGCACUCUUCUGUAGGCAGGCCAGCAUCAGUUUGGGCGGUAGGAUAAAGGUCUCUGUCACGUACCUCUCUUCGGGGAGGCCUUAUAGGGGAGACGACAUACUACCAGCCUGGACUGAGGUCCGCGCAUCUGCUAGGAUGCUGGCGUAAUGGCUGU